rnacentral:rRNA from 1 species
CAGUAGCCGCGGUAAUACGAAGGGUGCAAGCGUUACUCGGAAUUACUGGGCGUAAAGCGUGCGUAGGUGGUGGUUUAAGUCCGUUGUAAAAGCCCUGGGCUCAACCUGGGAAUUGCAGUGGAUACUGGGUCACUAGAGUGUGGUAGAGGAUAGUGGAAUUUCCGGUGUAGCAGUGAAAUGCGUAGAGAUCGGAAGGAACAUCUGUGGCGAAGGCGACUAUCUGGGCCAACACUGACACUGAGGCACGAAAGCGUGGGGAGCAAACAGGAUUAGAUACCCCAGUAGUCCCUGUCUCUUAUAC